rnacentral:rRNA from 1 species
AGAGUUUGAUCCUGGCUCAGGAUGAACGCUAGCGGCAGGCUUAACACAUGCAAGUCGAACGGUAAUUCCGGCUUUGGUCGGGAACGAGUGGCGCACGGGUGAGUAACGCGUUUGUAACCUACCUUUAACUGGAGAAUAGCUCCGAGAAAUCGGAAUUAAUACUUCAUAAUAUUUCAACGAGGCAUCUUGUUGUUAUUAAAGCUUUGGCGGUUAAAGAUGGGCAUGCGUGACAUUAGCUAGUUGGUAAGGUAAUGGCUUACCAAGGCGACGAUGUCUAGGGGGUCUGAGAGGAUGGUCCCCCACACUGGUACUGAGACACGGACCAGACUCCUAAGGGAGGCAGCAGUGAGGAAUAUUGGUCAAUGGGCGAAAGCCUGAACCAGCCAUGCCGCGUGCAGGCAGACGGCCCUAAGGGUUGUAAACUGCUUUUGUACAGGAAGAAACCCUCUGAUGUAUCGGAGGCUGACAGUACUGUACGAAUAAGGAUCGGCUAACUCCGUGCCAGCAGCCGCGGUAAUACGGAGGAUCCAAGCGUUAUCCGGAUUCAUUGGGUUUAAAGGGUGCGUAGGCGGAGUAGUAAGUCAGUGGUGAAAUCCUACAGCUUAACUGUAGAACUGCCAUUGAUACUGCUACCCUUGAGUAUAGUUGAGGUAGGCGGAAUGUGUAAUGUAGCGGUGAAAUGCUUAGAUAUUACACAGAACACCAAUUGCGUAGGCAGCUUGCUAAACUAUUACUGACGCUGAGGUACGAAAGCGUGGGUAGCGAACAGGAUUAGAUACCCUGGUAGUCCACGCUGUAAACGAUGAUUACUCGAUGUGUGCGAUAUAAUGUACGCGUCUGAGCGAAAGCAUUAAGUAAUCCACCUGGGGAGUACGAUCGCAAGGUUGAACUCAAGGAAUUGACGGGGGCCCGCACAAGCGGAGGACAUGUGGUUUAAUUCGAUGAUACGCGAGGAUCUUACUGGGCUUAAAUGCAGUAUGACAUCCCGGAAACGGGAUUUCCCUUCGGGGCAAAUUGCAGUGCUGCAUGGCUGUCGUCAGCUCGUGCCGUGAGGUGUCGGGUUAGUCCCAUAACGAGGCGCACCCUAUUGUUAGUUGCCAGCGAGAAUGGUCGGAUUUAACAAACUGCAGGUAACUGUAGAGUGGGGAUGACUCAGAUCAUACAGGCCUAUGUCAGCUCACACUGUUCAUAUGGGCGGUCAA